AUCCAGCUGAUGGGUCCCAAAUAGGGACGAAACGCGUGUCAAACUGGAU
rfam:Schistosoma mansoni, Puerto Rico, WGS project CABG01000000 data, contig: 0183